AAACAACUGAGACUCUACAAUGUUCUCUGUUGCUAAGAUGUGAUGUUUGCGGAGGCUAAUUUUGUUAAAUAUAUUUUUGACUUAUGAUAUUUUUUAAUUUAUGAUGAGUUUAUUGGAAUGUAACCCCCACAUAAGUAUCUAUAGAUAUAAACUUAAAUGCACACAAAGAAAGAGCAGUAGUAAAAUUAACUCUAAAUGUAAAACUAAGAGAGAAAAGUAUUUUGAUUACAACUGCUUUCUCUGAUUUAAAAGACAGCAGCUGCAUAAAACAAUGAUCAUAAAACCCUUAAUGGGUUUGUCAUCUACAAAUAUGUUAUUUGAACUCAGGCAUGGUGGUAUACACCUGUGAUCCCACCGUUUAGGAGGCUUAGGCAAGAGAAUUAUAUUUUCCAGAACACUCUGGGUUACAUAGUGAGUUCUAAGCCAUCCUGGGCUACAUAGAGACUCUGUCUUGGUGGUGGUGGUGGGGACCUGAAUGGCAGGAUGGCACGAAUAAAGGAGGUUUUAACGAACAGAUAUAGAUGAAGAGUUUUUGUGCAUUGCUGCUGUUGUUUGUAUUCUAAAGUAGAUGAAUUUAAGACAGUACUAUUCCCAAGGUAACCCUUAGUUAUAUGACUUAAAAGUUGGUAUUUAGGAUUAGAAUCUCAAUGCUUUGGCAUAUACUCAGAUUCUCAAUUUUGAGAGUAAAAAUAAAUGAUAUUUCCAAAAAUAAGCUUUAUUUGACAGUUUCUUUCAUUUAGUAUAACUAGGUACAAAUAUUUUGCCUAGGUAGGAUAUUUUAAUUUUUUUCUGGAUGAACCUUAAUAAAAUACUUAAAAAUUCACAACAAACAAAAUCUGAGAACAUUACAGUGAACUAUGAGUUCUUGUAAUUUGAAGUUGAUAAAGCUCUAUUGAAGAGAAUUUAAUUUUUGCUUGCUUAGAACGUACACAAACUUACAUAAUGUGAUUAAUGGCAUAAUAUAAUAAAGAAAUUCUCGAUCAUAAGUAAUAUUGUAGUUUAUAUAACAAUCUUGUUGAUUUGUUCCUAUGGGAAGACAGUACAAUCUCCUUUGGUUUGUUGGGUUUUUUUUGUUUGUUUUGUUUACUUACGGGGAAAAUGUGCCAGACAAAAUGAGUAAAAGCUGAAUAAUUUUGAUUGUUAUCUUGAAUUGGUCAUAAGUAGCACCACACAAGGGGCCUUCAGGAUCCAGGACGGGAGCAGACAAAGCAAGAUGUCUUGCUGGUAGGAUGCUAUUGAACUUGAGCUCUCAGAAGGGACUACUAGCUUCCAUCUGCCUCCAGGGAUCCUAGUCUCCUUAUUUAGCAUUUGUUUACCAAGUUUAAAGAGAGUAGUUUAGCAAUUUUGUCUUAAUGUUUCAGCUGAGAAGCAAGCUCUGCCUAGUGAAUGGCAAGAGAAAGGAAACAGUUUUCUUUAAUGCACAAAAUGCCACUCUCCCACCCACGAAGUCAAAAUAAUAUCCUCAAGGGAUAAAGCCUUGUUAGUUAGGAAUGCCUAAUUUCUUUCUAUAAUAUAUGUAUACAGUCUUUUUCAUUGCCUUCAUAAUAGUAACAGUGUUCUAUUUUAAGCCAAUUAGUUUAAGAUCUGUUUUUAUAGUUACUUAAUUUUUAAAAUUUGAAGUGUUAAUUAAAUGAACUGGUCUCCAAGAUGAGUGACCAGUAUAAUAUUUGCUGUGAGGAAUGCUGUGACAGUUGUAAAGGAUUCCCUGCCCUUAAGAAGGUUACUUUCUAGAACAAGAACUAAUUUAUAAGCUCAUAAACCUACUAAGUGCCUUAGAGACAUCUAAAUAAAGCUUAGAGAAUUUUGGCUAAGGUGACACAUGGUCACAGACAUAGAAUAUUAACAUAACAAAUGUAUAAGAAACUCAUUUCCACAAGAAAGUCUACCUUCACUAUAUAAGCUUACAUCCUUUUCAGUAUUGAUAGUUAAGGUUAGACAGUUGUUGAUUAGAGAAUGACUUAUGCUUGUGAGAGCUUAAGUUUUUAACAGUGUCAUCUCAGGCACAGAACCAUUGGUAAGGAAUUUUUCUGGGCCUAGGGUUCUAAGAGUAGGUCAGUUGGAAAGGUCAGGCUAAUAGGUUGAAGGUUUGUGUCUGUUACUGUGACAGUCAUUGUGGCAGGAAUAGCUCAUACAAUGGCACGUUACACUUGAAUAGCUCAUAGUGUAGCUCAGAAUGUUGGAUCAGUGGAAAAACCUAUCCCU
rnacentral:lncRNA from 1 species